rnacentral:rRNA from 1 species
CCUACGGGAGGCAGCAGUGAGGAAUAUUGGUCAAUGGGCGUAAGCCUGAACCAGCCAAGUCGCGUGAGGGAUGAAGGUUCUAUGGAUCGUAAACCUCUUUUAUAAGGGAAUAAAGUUCGGGACGUGUCCCGUUUUGUAUGUACCUUAUGAAUUAGGAUCGGCUAACUCCGUUCCAGCCGCCGCGGUAAUACGGAGGAUCCGAGCGUUAUCCGGUUUUAUUGGGUUUAAAGGGUGCGUAGGCGGCCUUUUAUGUCAGCGGUGAAAUGCGGUGGCUCAACCAUAGAAUUGCCGUUGAAACUGGGAGGCUUGAGUGUGUUUGAGGCAGGCGGAAUGCGUGGUGUAGCGGUGAAAUGCUUAGAUAUCACGCAGAACCCCGAUUGCGAAGGCAGCCUGCCAAGCCAUGACUGACGCUGAUGCACGAAAGCGUGGGGAUCAAACAGGAUUAGAUACCCCAGUAGUC